rnacentral:lncRNA from 1 species
GAAGAAGCCUCGUUGUGGGGGCGCGCGCAGUGUUUGUGGCGUUGGACGGCUUGUGCGGCGUGGAGCGGAGGGGAUUGAGAGCCUACAGCAUGGGAGAUGAGGACUGGGACACCGAGAUCCAGGACCGCCUGGCAUCCUUCCUACCAGACUUCCAGCAGCUGGAUAACUUUUCUGGAAGAGCAAAUAACCCCUCAUUUAGUUGCAAUCAAAGCAGAAAUUCAGCAGAUGCUGGUGUGGAACCUAACAGAAGUCAACUCAUGCAGGGUGACUUUGGUACUGGAAGGAGUUUUGGGAAUAGAGGUAGUUUUUGUAUUGUCUAAUGUUCGUUUAAAGUCCUGUUGUUGUCACGUAAAUUCUU